ensembl:snRNA U6 U6 spliceosomal RNA
GUACUCCCUUCGGCAGCACAUAUACUAAAAUUGGAAUGAUACGGAGAAGUUUAGCACGGCCCCUGCGCAAGCAUGACAUACAAAUUCGUGAAGCAGUCCAUAUUUUU